rnacentral:rRNA from 1 species
GACGAGGACAGGCCUUGGAAAGGAACACCGACACCCUGCGAUGACGUCGAUCGCCAACUCUUGGCCAGCUGCACUUCCCUGCUCUUGGGGGACGGCAGUGUCGCGGUGUUUUGGCGGGAUCGCUGGCUAAAUGGUGAGGCCCCGCAGCAGGUGGCGCCGGAUAUUUACAGUCUUGCCAGAUUCAAGAAUCUUACAGUCAAAGAGGCGUUGUACAAUGGGCGCUGGAUGCAGGGGUUGCAAAGAAUGAACAAUGCUGGUCAACUUUGCCAAUUUUUCAAGCUGUGGGAAAAGUUGCGGAUGGUUAAUCUUUCGACAUCUAAAGACAAAGCAAUAUGGAACAUCACUGCAAAUGGAAGAUACUCGGCCUGCUCAGCUUAUGAGAUCCAAAUCUCGGCACGGAUUGAGCAGCCCGAGAUUGCCAAAGUGUGGAAGACAAGGCUAGAGGGGAAGGUUCGGUUCUACAUUUGGCUCUUGCUGCAAAAUAGAAAUUGGACCGCAGACAGACUGCAGGCCAGUGGUUGGCCCCAUAAUGCUUGUUGCCGGCUAUGUGACCAGGAACCUGAAUCUGCGGAACAUUUAACGCUGCGAUGCAGCUAUGCACGAGAGGUCUGGUACCUCUUUCAGGGUACAAGUGAUAGGAUUUGCAACGUGGUGUGCUCCGCAACUUCAGUGUCAGAUUGGUGGAAGAGACUAUUUUUGCAUCAUAGUGCGCCAGCCAAGGCUGCUGAGGAAACGACCCUUUCGGCAUACAUUGCUUGGCAUCUUUGGAAGGAGCAAAACAGAAGGGUCUUCGAGAAUGUUGAGCUGACACCAAGAGCCCUGGUCACACUUAUUAAGGAGGAUCUCAAAAUGCUCAAUGAGGCAUUCUGCCCAACCAUUGUGGGGGCUGGGUAG